GAACGAGUUGUUUGCGUGGGGAAGGCCACCCUUGCUGAGGGGCACCCUUGACGUGCGGUCCCUGUGAAGCCCUCAGAUAUUGAAUAUGUGAAAGUUCUAUAGCUAUCUUCAGUCUGGCAUGUGAUCAGAGAUUUUGAUACUUUUGGAUGUGUAAAUUGGACGGGGCAUGGCUGAUGGCGAGAGAGAAGAGUUUUUGGUUCCCCAUUCCAAUUUGUGGCAGUGUUGUUAGUCAACUUGUAGUGAUCAGGUUGAGAGAUGGCAUAAAACUCCCCCAAAGUGCAAAAGGAACAACAACCCAUUCACAGAUGCUGUUCUUCUCCCACAGGCCUGGAAGUAACUCCUUUUUGGAAACUGCACUCUCAGUUCCUUUUCCAACACCUGCCCCAUCUGCCAUGGAGAGGCACCGUGGAGAAUGCUUUCUAACUCUCCCUUGUUCCUUUACAUCUAUACAUGGGUUAUAGACUCUGAACUCUGGAUUGGCAUUUUCUCUCUUUGGAGGAACAUGGGGUCAAACAGUGUGAGGAAGCAGCUUUUUCUCAAGUUUGGCUCAACAUGCUUUAGGUCAUUUUGGCUUAAGAGAACAGGCUCACUCACAGGGUCCAGUCUAAAUCUCUGUGUUCUUCAUUAAAUUCUGCCCUAGAGCCUUGUAUUUAC
rnacentral:lncRNA from 12 species